UAGUCCACGCCGUAAACGAUGAUUACUCGUUAUUGGCGAUAUACAGUCAGUGACUAAGCGAAAGUGAUAAGUAAUCCACCUGGGGAGUACGAUCGCAAGGUUGAAACUCAAAGGAAUUGACGGGGGCCCGCACAAGCGGUGGAGCAUGUGGUUUAAUUCGAUGAUACGCGAAGAACCUUACCUAGGCUCUAAUUCUAUUUGACAGGUCCCGAAAAGGAUUUUUUCUUCGGAACAAAUAGGAAGGUGCUGCAUGGUUGUCGUCAGCUCGUGCCGUGAGGUGUUGGGUUAAGUCCCGCAACGAGCGCAACCCUUAUCUUUAGUUGCCAGCAUGUAAUGAUGGGGACUCUAAAGAGACUGCCUCCGUAAGGAGUGAGGAAGGUGGGGGAUGACGUCAAAUCAUCAUGGCCUUUAUGCCCAGGGCUACACACGUGCUACAAUGGCCAGUACAGAGGGUCGCGAAACCGUGAGGUGGAGCCAAUCUCAGAAAGCUGGUCUUAGUUCGGAUCGAAGUCUGGAA
rnacentral:rRNA from 1 species